GUCUUUGUAGUAUAAAUAAUACACUGGUCUUGUAAACCAAAGAAGGAGAAUAAUCAACCUCCCCAAGACU
rnacentral:tRNA from 1 species